GGACCCGCACAAGCGGUGGAGCAUGUGGUUUAAUUCGAUGCAACGCGAAAAACCUUACCUACUCUUGACAUACUUGGAGGCUCUUGUAAUGAGAGUGUGCCUUUUGGAACCAAGAUACAGGUGCUGCAUGGCUGUCGUCAGCUCGUGUCGUGAGAUGUUCCGUUAAGUCGGAUAACGAGCGCAACCCUUACCCUUAUUUGCCAGCGAUUCGGUCGGGAACUAUAAGGGGACUGCCGGUGAUAAACCGGAGGAAGGUGAGGACGACGUCAAGUCAUCAUGGCCCUUACGAGUAGGGCUACACACGUGCUACAAUGGGAGAUACAGACGGACGCUAAGCCGCGAGGUGGUGCUAAUCCUAAAAAGUCUUUCGUAGUCCGGAUUGGAGUCUGCAACUCGACUCCAUG
rnacentral:rRNA from 1 species